rnacentral:lncRNA from 1 species
GAUAUAACAGCGUGUAAAUGCACGGUAGAAAGUUUGGGGCGAAAUAGAAAGGUCAAUUUUGCAAAUUUGGAAAUUUGAAGUCAAACAUGAGAAUAACAAAAAAAUAUAAGGAUCAUAGAAGCAAAAAGGUGAAAAUUCACCAUUAUUGUUUUCGAGCUUUCACUUUCCGCUGAGAGAACAAGCGACAACCACUCAAGACGGCAACGACGGUGGAUCUUAGUGCGACAGAGUGAUGCGGAUGUGAUUCUUCGACGAGGAAUGAGGCAGCAACAAGGAGCUCACCAUAGUUGGUCGUCGUUUCUCGACGGUGAAAAAGUUUGCCAUGGAUCUCUGCAAACAAUUUGUGUCACAGAUUUUGAAUUUACCAUGAGAUGCUAAUUGAUUAUGAAAAUCUGCACUUUAACUUGCUUUUUAGAGAAUUUUAAUUAAUUUUUUUU